AAUGUUUGUCACCGUUGACUUUUUGGCACAAGUUUGACCCUUCGUCUUAUUUGAAAAUUUUAUAUAAUUAUUAAUUCUUUUUCUAUCAUUUGAUUCAUUAUUAAAUAUAGUUUCAUGCAUACAUAUAGUUUUACAAAUUUUACAAAAGUUUUUGAAUAAGACGAAGGGUCAAACUUGUAUAAAAAGUCAACGGUGACAAACAUU
rnacentral:pre_miRNA from 1 species